GCAUUGGUGGUUCAGUGGUAGAAUUAUCGCCUGCCAUGCGGGAGACUGGGGUUCGAUUCCCCGCAAAUGCA
rnacentral:tRNA from 1 species